CACUACAGAUACAUUUUUGUUUGUCCUGGAUAAAAACCUUUAAUGACAUCCCAUUUUAAGAUGCUUGUCCUUAAACCGUAAUGAUCUGACAACAAUGUUACAGUGUAUUUUCACAGCUGUUUUGUUUUGUUUUUCAAAUGUGGCAACUGUGUGGAAAUUGGAUUGCCAUUUGAGUUGCAAUUUGCCUCCAAACAAGACGGCGGCGAGGCUGCGAUCACCUGACCUCAACGGGUCCAGACUCGUGAUGUGAGCCCUGCCUUUUACUCACAGUGACCCCACAACUGCCGCUGUCACAUUUGCAACAUGGCAACUUCAAAAAAUGCAUAGUAAGGGAAAUGAGUACCUUGCCUAACAUUUUUAACUGUGCAAUCAUGAAAAGACAAUAUGGAAAGCACUAGACUGCUGAGUCACCGGCUCCUCCUUCGACAUCAUGGGUUCUUACCGAAGAUGAAGUGAAAAGUUGUUUUCCUCAGAGAAAAUCACAAAGUGCAAGGACACGGCACAAUAAGGAGCGGUGACUGUGACUUAGUGGUCUGAUACAAUUGUCAAUGUAAUUUUCCAUUUGAGGAUCAGGAAUAUACAAUAAAUCUUCAUCAACCAAUCAAGCGUUAUUACGAGAGCACUUUUCACUCAAACAGUUGGAGCUCGCCACUGUGAACGGCGGGGUAAAAAGACGCACCCACUCACCCAACAAAUGAUUGAUGCAGAAAUGUUUGGAAUGAAAAAACAAAACAAAACCCAGCUGUGACUGCCGGAAGAUAAACACGUUCAUCAAGGCUUGCACAAAGAUAUGAGCUGCGCUUCUAUCAUCAGAAUUUUCCACAGGCUUGGACCCUCAACUCAUACAAAUGCCUCUUAGUCUUGUUGAAUGAAUGACUUCAACCAGUUUUAUAGAUUUAAUUUUUUUUAAUGAAUAUUCUAAUUUAUUCAGCACAUUUUAUUCACGGGGCAAUGAAUGGGAUUUAUUUUUUUAACAUAAGCAAAAGAAUCACUGGUGAGCAUCAUAAAUUUCGAGCAUUUAAGAAAAAAAUAUUGCAGAUCUCCAUUAAAUAAAUGUUCUUUUUUUUCCUUUGAAAUAUAGAAAUAUAUUCUGACUAGACAAGGAGACUCAAACGUCCAAAGCUCCAAUGAUCCUAUAUCACAAAGAGAAUGAUUAAACUGGCGUGUUUAGUUCAACCCGGAAGACUAGCACUCAUUGUUAGAAUAACAUCGGCUUGCCAGCUGACGUCACCUGCUUACAAUGCCAUUGGUGGAGAACAAGUCUGACCUGUCUCAAUCGUCAACCCCCUUGAGGUGAACUCAUCCAUUUGCAGCUUAGGCUUUGUUUAAUUACAAAAACAUAUGCACACAACAAAGCACUCGUUUUGCAAGAAACAAAACUGUUUGAUUAGAUACCUGCUAAUAUUUUGUAUUAAAAUAUCACUUUUUC